AGACAUAGUCACAGAAUCAAGCAUAAUAAAAUUUUUUUAUACAUGGGUGAUAGGAAUUUGGGGAUAUAUGAAGCACAUAGUGGUAAACACACAACAAGUAGAGAUAACUGGUGCAGACAUGUUCAGAAACAACACAAAUGGGGUAAUACACUGAUCUUAAGGAAGGGGAGUACAUAACAUGCUAAUAAUGUAAACAUCAACUACAAGUUUCAUAGCAAAACCAUAAAUAGAAGCAAACUAGAAAAAGGAUGAACUGAAGCAAUAAAAGAACCAUAUUGUUAUUGGAACUUGAAUUGAAACUAGAACAUAGUGGUAAAGAAGACAGUAAGCAAAAGUGAAAUAUUAUGAGAGAACAAAAUUGUUAGCCUUGGCUUGCAGCGGACAAACUUAGAAUAGUAGAAAGUAGCACAAAGGAG
rnacentral:lncRNA from 1 species